CUAAUUGAAUAAAAUAGAAAAGAAAUAUCUAGAGCAAUUAAAUAUUUACAAAACAGAAUUUGUUGGGUCUGUUUUGUGAAUAGUUGCACCCUUAAAACUAAGUUACAAAACAGCAAAAACACAUCUUGACAUCCACCACAAAAUAUACUAAAUCAUGGGCAUUUUUGAAUCAAGGUUGGGACAAGUGAAUAUUGGCUUGAGAUAUAAAAGAGAGAGAGAGGUUUGCAAAUAUGACAAACCCACUUCAUUUAGAACUAGUCACACACACAUGAAAUCAUAGAGCACCCCAACACAUACACAAGAUCACAAAGUAGCUAACCACAAGAUCACCACACCACAAGAAAUGCUAAUAUCAUA
rnacentral:lncRNA from 1 species